CGAAGGGUGCAAGCGUUGCUCGGAAUUAUUGGGCGUAAAGGGUUGGUAGGUGGUCUUGUUUGUCUAAGGUGAAAUCCCAUGGCUUAACUGUGGAAGUGCCUUAGAAACGGCAAGACUAGAGUCCUAGAGGGGUUGUGGAAUUCCCGGUGUAGCGGUGAAAUGCGUAGAGAUCGGGAGGAACACCAGCGGCGAAGGCGGCAAACUGGAUAGGCACUGACACUCAACAACGAAGCGUGGGGAGCAAACAGGAUU
rnacentral:rRNA from 1 species